rnacentral:misc_RNA from 1 species
GAUGAAGAACGUAGCGAAAUGCGAUAAGUAAUGUGAAUUGCAGAAUUCAGUGAAUCAUCGAAUCUUUGAACGCACAUUGCGCCCCCUGGUAUUCCGGGGGGCAUGCCUGUUCGAGCGUCAUUACAACCCUCAAGCUCUGCUUGGUAUUGGGCCCCGCCAGUUCUGGCGGGCCCUAAAGUCAGUGGCGGUGCCUUCUGGCUCCGAGCGUAGUAAUUCUUCUCGCUCUGGAGACCCGGUUGUGUGCUUGCCAACAACCCCCAAUUUUUUAAGGUUGACCUCGGAUCAGGUAGGGAUACCCGCUGAACUUAAGCAUAUCAAUAAGCGGAGGA